CGCUGAACUUAAGCAUAUCAUUAAGCGGAGGAAAAGAAACUAACAAGGAUUCCCCCAGUAACGGCGAGUGAAGCGGGAAGAGCUCAAGCUUAAAAUCUCCAUACUUGUAUGGCGAAUUGUAGUCUAUUGAGGCUGUUGUCAGCAUCGCGAUUGGGGACAAGUCCCUUGGAAAAGGGCAGCAUGGAGGGUGAUACUCCCGUCUCUGCUCCAAUCUGCGGUGUGUACGAUACGCUUUCUUUGAGUCGAGUUGUUUGGGAAUACAGCUCAAAGUAGGUGGUAAAUUCCAUCUAAAGCUAAAUAUUGGUGCGAGACCGAUAGCGAACAAGUACCGUGAGGGAAAGAUGAAAAGAACUUUGAAAAGAGAGUUAAAGAGUACCUGAAACUGUUGAAAGGGAACCGUAUCGUUUCCAGUGUUGUAUCCUAUGCAUAUUUCAUUCGUGGAGUAAUUUACGGGUGCCCUGUGCAUGGGUGUGACGUCAGGGUCAGUUUGUAUGCUGCGGGAGAUGGUCAGUGAGGAGGUGCGUCACUUCGGUGAAAGUUAUAUCUCGCUGUCUAGUAGCCGUGGUUGAGACUGAGGUGCCUACAACAUGCCUUAAGGUUCUAUGUUGUCUCGUGUUGGUGACUGCUUUGAUAGCUUGCUAUGUCUGUGGUUUAUUAAUGCGAUUGAUGAUGUGGAUAACUUUUGCUGUUCGGGACUCUGGCGAAAUGGAGCGAUACGACCCGUCUUGAAACACGGACCAAGGAGUCUAACAUGUGUGCAAGUAUUAGGGCGUGGAAACCCAAAUGCGUAAUGAAAGUAAAUGCUGCUUAUGCAGCUGUGGUAGGAAAGGGCUGUCAAGGUCCUGGCACUAUCGACCGAUCAUGAGCCUACGGGCAAAAGAUUUGAGUAUGAGCAUAUAUGUUGGUACCCGAAAGAUGGUGAACUAUGCCUGAAUAGGGUGAAGCCAGGGGAAACUCUGGUGGAAGCUCGUAGCGAUUCUGACGUGCAAAUCGAUCGUCAAAUUUGGGUAUAGGGGCGAAAGACUAAUCGAACCAUCUAGUAGCUGGUUCCCUCCGAAAUUUCCCUCAGGAUAGCAGCAACUUUUUACGAUAGUUUUAUGAGGUAAAGCGAAUGAUUAGAGGCCUCGGGGAAGAAACUUCCUCGACCUAUUCUCAAACUUUAAAUGGGUAAGACCUGUGGGUUUCUUAAUUGAACCUGUGGACGUGAAUAUCCAAGUUGUUAGUGGGCCAUACCGGGUAAGCUGGUCUGGCG
rnacentral:rRNA from 2 species